rnacentral:rRNA from 1 species
GAUGAACGCUGGCGGCGUGCCUAAUACAUGCAAGUCGAACGAACGGACGAGAUUCUUCCUUCUCUGAUGGUGGCCGCGGGCGUGGGAGGAACACGUGGAUAACCUACGUAUAGGACUGGGAUAACUUCGGGAAACCGGAACCAGUACCGGAUAAUAGUUUGAACCGCAGGGUUCAAAAGUUAGAGGCGGUCGUGCUGUCACUGAUAGGUGGAGCCGCGCUGCAUUAUCUAGUUGUUAAGGGAACGGGAUACGAAGGCAACGAUGGAUAGCCGACCUCAGAGGGUGAACGGGCACGCUGGCAGUGAGACAGGGCCCAGACUCCUACGGGAGGCAGCAGCAGGGAAUCUUACGCGAUGGGCGAGAGCCUGACGGAGCAACGCCGCGUGAGCGAUGAAGGUGUUCGGCUGCUAGAACUAUGUUAUUAGGGAAGACGAUAUGUGCAAGUAACUGUGACCAUGUUGACGGUACCUAAUCAGAAAGCCACGGCUAACUACGUG